GGGCCUCUAGCCGGCUUCCAACGCCGCCUCCCCUGCUCUGCUCCGAGCAGGGAUACUGGAGUGCUCUGGGUGGUGGAGGCCUGUGCUGGCUGCUGGGUGCUGCCCUUUAGCCGAGUAGAAAACGUGGUCUCUUUUAGCGCGAGUACAAAUACAAGUGAGGGUACUUCCACACAGUGCAGUGUACAAAAUUCUUGAGGGAGAGUACAGUUCGUGCGAAGAUGCCUUUUGAAGGGAGCCUGUUAGGAAAACCCAGCUUAUGCACAUGUGUUUAAGUGACUACCCUGUCAAGAGGGAACAGAGGCUUCAAGUCAAACUGCUAACACAGCUGCUUCGUCUACUCGGGCAUUAUAUUGGUAGCAUGCCGCCUUUUACAUGGUCUUGGUCUAUUAAAGGGAGUUGUUUGUUAUGUAGCUCAGACUUUUGAGUACAUCUCUAAAAGAAAGUUGUUUUAAACUGUGUGAGGUCUGCUUUCAGGGCAUGGGAGACAGUGUGUUGCAGCAUUUUUACCAGGUUCGUUUUAGAAGAAAUAAGCGAUUUGUUCACUUUCUGUAGGAUUGGGCUGCUAAUUGGAAAAUACAGGGGUUUUUUUCUGUUUAGGAAUGUGGGAGACCAAUGCCGUUAGGGCAGGAAUAACCAGGAAGUUGGUUUAUCUCUAUGGGAAUCUCUCUAACUAAUGUGGACAUCCAGGGGCUGUGCCGCAAGGCUUGUGGGAAAGUAUUAUAACUUGUGUGUGUAUUUGUCAGCAGGAAGCUUAGUCACAGACUCUUUCAAUAAACAUAAACUUUUCAGGCAACUGAUAUUCAAAUUUUAUGUUGAUUUCAUGUUGUUUCUCUCUCCUGAGAUUCCCGGAGAAGUUGUAAGGACCAGUAAUAAGGAGAAUGGUUGCCUUUUAUCUGUAAUGAGGAUGGUUUAUAACUGUAGUCUAGAGAACAAAGAUCCUUGAUAGCGAGUGAUAUGGAAACAAAAGCAAGAAAGGAGCUUGUUCUUAGGCCAGUUUGUUAUAUGGAUGUUCCCACAGGGCUUCAGAAGCAAACUUACUGAUUUAUGUUUUUCUGGCCAUGCUGUAGGUGGUUCAUAGACAACUUCUGUUGUGGUGUUCAUUUUCAGUUCACAGAAUUGCAGUCUUCUCAGUGGCUGUAUCAGUUUUGAGCUACUAUUUGAUUUCCAUCAUCUCCAGGUUCUCAUUAGCUAAAGCUCAACUUCUGUACAAGCUCUUACCUUUUGUAAAUGUGUAGGAAAGAAGGUGGUGAAAUGUAUUGUGGCAAUUAGUCCUUAUCAGCUAAAUUAUUUUCAUCUGGUCCUGUAGGUUAUUUAGAAUACUAUUUCACAGACACAAAGGUCAAAUGAAAAAUACGAUUAACCAGUUUGCUCAAGUGUGUAGACUUAGAUCAAAGUGAGGUUAACAUGCUUAGCUCCUAUCCUGCCUUCAGCUGUGGCAUCUCGUUUAUGAGCUUUACUCAAUUAUCAGCUGCUUGCAGUAUCAGGCUAUGUUUGCAGUACACCUUUGUGAAUGUAUUUGAGACUGAGUAUGGGACAUGACAGUGUGAGAACAAAGUGGAUCUCUCCAUGGGUUCAGUCACACAAUUGUAUUUGGAGUAAUGGCAGCACUGUAGCUGUCCUCUUUUCUAAACAAGACUGGAUUUCAGCAAAAUAUUCAACAAGCUGUGUGCUGAAUGUUUACAGGCACUUUACCAAUCUCAGCAGGACCCUACCACAUUUUGUUUGCUCCAAAUCCCUUCUGGAGGCAAGAGUAACCACACUGCCUGAGGGUAUUCAAGAAGAGUAAGAACCGGAGUCCUAUGCCCCAUUCCAGUAUUCUUAUGUGGAAGAAUACAUUUCAAAUAUGAUACAGGAUAUCUCUGGAAGUGGAGUGAAAUAAAACUGCAUUUCUAGGAUCUUAAACUUACUUUUAUCAUGAACUUCAAGUAUUGAAAAGGUCGGUGUUCAGCCCUUGUAGAAGAAGGUGAAGAUUGAAGUGAACGAGCUUCUCACUCUACCAAAGCCCAGUUUGGAAAUGACUGAUUAUUUCAUUAAUCUCUGCAUGGUAUGCAAGUUCUUUAGAAAUGGCAUGGACUUGUGUCAGAAUUCUGCUGUUCAACCUCUUUUGUACUAUAGCACAUAUGUGGAAGAAAUCUUUGGUAAUUCAUUUGAACCUUUUAUUCACUUGAACCUCCUUAUUAAGAGACAUUUAUUUUGUUAUAGUAUAGAGUACCUAAUUAAGAAAGCUACUCAUCUGUAACGGUUGUAACCAAGGUAGUAACAAAUGAAAAAAGCUACCAGUAGACUUACACAUUUUGAAAUGGAAGAGAUUAUUUAAUCUCAUCAGUUAGGCUACACUUUUAAAGGUCAUUUAAGUAGUGGUAACAUUUUCUGUUUGUCAUAGGGGAUCUGUUACUGAGGUUGUUUUUACAUCAUGUAUUGGGCAGCCUUUUAUCUACAAAACUUAACAUCACUUCUUUAGGGAUUCGACCUCACUAUCACUUUGCUUUGUCUUUCCCUUCUUACCUGAUCCAUUAUUUUAGUGUUGAACCGUAAAUUCUGUCUUUUUGGUUAUUUGUGUAUUACCAUUCUUUAAUUAUAUAAUUUAAAACUUUCACAAGUAUGGGAAUUGUCCCUUAAAAGUUGCAUUCUUAUGAGCCUAAAUUUAAAUGUAAAACUGCAGAAGUUUGGAUACUCCAAUCUUUUCAGUAUUAUUUGUUUUGCAAUGAGCAUAAAACUGAGCGAUACCAGCUACUGUGUUUUGCAGCCUCUUUGUAUUAUGACAUGAUAUAUCUAAUUUUAGUGGUUGUAUAUUGUUUUUUCCAGUUACACCUAUAAUAUACCAGAGAUCACUGUUCCAGGAUGUUUAUAGUUUUUCCAUGUUACUGAGCUUUAUGAAUGUGCAGAUUUAUCGACCCCUAGUGGGUUGUUAGGAAAAUGGCUAAUUUAGUAAGAGCUAAAUGAAAAAUGUAAAUCUUUUUCAAUACUGUAUCUGUUUCAAUGCUCUUUUCCUUCUAUUUGCAGCUGGAUUAGCUCCUGAAUUUCAUUUCUGGUGUUCUGUUUCCUAUCUCUGCAGAAUUGCCUAUUGCAGCAACUUCUAUUCGCAACACUCCCAAAACAUGUAGCUAGGUGUCUGCAUUUUAAUGAACACUUGUAGCUGUAGCUGAGUAUUUUAAAAUUAUAGUGUAGCAGAAAUUUAAAAAAAAUAAAGGGUCUUUUGUUUUGUGCUGUGUAAGGUGGGCUUAUUUUUAAUUAGCUAGAAAAGCUAGUAACUUCUUGGGUAGUAUGAUACUAUAUAAAUGAAUUAAAGCAAAUUCUAAAUCA